rnacentral:tRNA from 1 species
GUGGCCUGGCUGUUAAGACGCCGGGCUACCAACCUGGGGGUCGCAGGUUCGAA